AAUUUAAGAUAUUAUUUAAUAAAUUGUUAGGGAUUUUUUAUUUAAAUUAUUAAUAUUAUAUUUAGUAUUUUUAUAGAAAAAUAUUUUUAUAUUAUAGAUUAUUAGUACUGUAAAGGAAUUAUUUUAAAUUUUUAAAAGAAAAUUUAAUUUGUUGUACCUUGUGUAUCAGGGCUUAUUAAUUUAAUAUUUUAAAUUAAAAUUUCCCGAAACUAAAUGAGCUAUAAUUAUAUUUAUUUUAAUGUUGAAGAAUUAUUUAUAAUUUAAUUAUAGGGGUGAGAUUCUAUUCGUUUUUAGUGAUAUCUGGUUUUUAAAGAAUUUAAUUUAAUUAUAUAAUUAAAUUUAAAUACAUUAAAUUUUUAUUGUAUUUUAUUUAAUUAUUACAAAUCUUUGGGAUGAGCUAGGGAUUUUAUUCUUAUAAAUAACUAUUAUUAAUUUAUUAAGUAGGAUUGGAAGUUUUCAUCUUUUAAAGUGUGUUAUUACUUUAAUAUAUAUAUAUAUAUAUAUAUAUAUAUAAUUUAUAUGAGUUUUAAGUAUUUUAUUUAAGUAAUCAAUUUAAUUUAUUAGUUUAUUUAAUUAUGAUAGAAUUAGUAUAUAAUUUGUAUUUUAUUUUUAUUGGAAAGGAUAAGCUAAGGAAUUCGGCAAAUCUAUUCUCGCCUGUUUAAUAAAAACAUGUCCUCUUGAAUCGAAUAGGAGGUCUAACCUGCCCACUGAUAUUUAAAUGGCUGCAGUAAUUUGACUGUACAAAGGUAGCAUAAUCAUUAGUUUUUUAAUUGAAAGCUUGUAUGAAUGGUUGGACGAGGAAUAAACUGUCUUUGUUUAUUUUUAAUAGAAUUUUACUUUUAAGUUAAAAGGCUUAAAUUUUUUUGGAAGACGAGAAGACCCUAUAGAGUUUUAUAUUUUUAAAUAUUAAUGUUAUUUGGUAAAUUUAGGGUUUAAUAUUUAAAGGUAUUUUAUUGGGGUGAUAGAGAAAUAAGAUAAACUUUCUUUUGUUUUGUAUAUUGAUUUAUAGAUUUUUGAUCCAGUAUUACUGAUUAUAAGAUUAAAUUACCUUAGGGAUAACAGCGUGAUUUUUUUGGAGAGUUCUUAUCGAUAAAAGAGUUUGCGACCUCGAUGUUGGAUUAAAAUUUAUACUAGGUGUAGAAGUUUGGUAGUUUGGUCUGUUCGACCAUUAUAAUUUUACAUGAUCUGAGUUUAGACCGGUGUGAGCCAGGUUGGUUUCUAUCUCUAAAUAUUUUUAAUAAUUUAGUACGAAAGGACCAUUUAUUAAUAAAAUUUAUUUUUAUUGAAUAAUAUU
rnacentral:rRNA from 1 species